UACGUAGGGGCCUAGCGUUGUCCGGAUUUAUUGGGCGUAAAGAGCUCGUAGGCGGCUUAGUAAGUCGGGUGUGAAAACCCCAGGCUCAACCUGGGGACGCCACCCGAUACUGCUAUAGCUAGAGUCCAGUAGGGGAGUGUGGAAUUCCCAGUGUAGCGGUGAAAUGCGCAGAUAUUGGGAGGAACACCAGCGGCGAAGGCGGCACUCUGGGCUGGUACUGACGCUGAGGAGCGAAAGCGUGGGUAGCGAACAGG
rnacentral:rRNA from 1 species